CCUACGGGUGGCUGCAGUGGGGAAUAUUGGACAAUGGGCGAAAGCCUGAUCCAGCCAUGCCGCGUGUGUGAAGAAGGCCUUCGGGUUGUAAAGCACUUUCAGUGGGGAAGAAAGCCUUGGGGCUAAUACCCUCGAGGAAGGACAUCACCCACAGAAGAAGCACCGGCUAACUCCGUGCCAGCAGCCGCGGUGAUACGGAGGGUGCGAGCGUUAAUCGGAAUUACUGGGCGUAAAGCGCGCGUAGGCGGUCUGAUAAGCCGGUUGUGAAAGCCCCGGGCUCAACCUGGGAACGGCAUCCGGAACUGUCAGGCUAGAGUGCAGGAGAGGAAGGUAGAAUUCCCGGUGUAGCAGUGAAAUGCGUAGAGAUCGGGAGGAAUACCAGUGGCGAAGGCGGCCUUCUGGACUGACACUGACGCUGAGGUGCGAAAGCGUGGGUAGCAAACAGGAUUAGAUACCCUGGUAGUC
rnacentral:rRNA from 1 species